GAUGAACGCUAGCGGCAGGCUUAAUACAUGCAAGUCGAGGGGCAACAGGGGGUAGCAAUACCUGCUGGCGACCGGCAAACGGGUGCGGAACACGUACAGAACCUUCCUUUAAGCGGGGGAUAGCCCAUAGAAAUGUGGAUUAAUACCCCAUAGUAAUGUUUAAUGGCAUCAUUAGAUAUUUAAAGAUUUAUCACUUAAAGAUGGCUGUGCGGCUGAUUAGGUAGUUGGUGCGGGUAACGGCCCACCAAGCCAACGAUCAGUAACUGGUGUGAGAGCACGACCAGUCACACGGGCACUGAGACACGGGCCCGACUCCUACGGGAGGCAGCAGUAAGGAAUAUUGGUCAAUGGACGCAAGUCUGAACCAGCCAUGCCGCGUGAAGGAU
rnacentral:rRNA from 1 species